rnacentral:rRNA from 1 species
CAGCAGAGGGGAAUAUUGCACAAUGGGCGCAAGCCUGAUGCAGCCAUGCCGCGUCUAUGAAGAAGGCCUUCGGGUUGUAAAGUACUUUCAGCGGGGAGGAAGGCGACAGCGUUAAUAACCCUGACGAUUGACGUUACCCGCAGAAAAAGCACCGGCUAACUCUGUGCCAGCAGCCGCGGUAAUACGGAGGGUGCAAGCGUUAAUCGGAAUUACUGGGCCUAAUGCGGACGCAGGCGGUCUGUCAAGUCGGAUGUGAAAUCCCCGGGCUCAACCUGGGAACUGCAUUCGAAACUGGCAGGGUAGAGUCUUGUAGAGUGGGGUAGAAUUCCAGGAGUAGCGGUGAAAUGCGUACAGAUCUGGACGAAUACCGGUUUCGAAGGCGGCUUCCUGGACAAAGACUGAGGCUCAGGUGCGCAAGU